rnacentral:rRNA from 1 species
GACGAACGCUGGCGGCGUGCUUAACACAUGCAAGUCGAACGGAAAGGCCCUGCUUUUGUGGGGUGCUCGAGUGGCGAACGGGUGAGUAACACGUGAGUAACCUGCCCUUGACUUUGGGAUAACUUCAGGAAACUGGGGCUAAUACCGGAUAGGAGCUCCUGCUGCAUGGUGGGGGUUGGAAAGUUUCGGCGGUUGGGGAUGGACUCGCGGCUUAUCAGCUUGUUGGUGGGGUAGUGGCUUACCAAGGCUUUGACGGGUAGCCGGCCUGAGAGGGUGACCGGCCACAUUGGGACUGAGAUACGGCACAGACACCUACGGGAGGCAGCAGUGGGGAAUAUUGCACAAUGGGCGGAAGCCUGAUGCAGCAACGCCUCGUGCGGGAUGACGGCCUUCGGGUUGUAAACCGCUUUCGCCUGUGACGAAGCGUGAGUGACGGUAAUGGGUAAAGAAGCACCGGCUAACUACGUG